rnacentral:rRNA from 1 species
GGCCAAUCAAAGCAGGCAGCAGGCGCGCAAUUACCCAUUCCCGACACGGGGAGGUAGUGACGAAAAAUAACAAUUCAAGACUCGAAACGAGGCCUUGAAGUUGGAAUGAGUACACUUUAAAAUUUUUAACGAGUAUCUAUUGGAGGGCAAGUCUGGUGCCAGCAGCCGCGGUAAUUCCAGCUCCAAUAGCGUAUACUAAAGUUGUUGCGGUUAAAAAGCUCGUAGUUGAAUCUAGGAGUGUGAGCGCGCGGUCACUCGAAAGAGCGUACUGUGCGGCGCACUCUUCUCUGCGGUUGCGCGUGUAUGUGCUCUUAACUGAGUGCAUCACUCGACUGCAAAAUUUACCUUGAAAAAAUUAGAGUGUUCAAAGCAGGCCUGUUUUGCCUGUAUAUUCGUGCAUGGAAUAAUAAAAUAUGAAUUCGGUUCUAUUUUAUUGGUUUUCGGAACUCGAGUUAAUGAUUAAGAGGGACAGACGGGGGCAUCCGUACUCUGCCGUUAGAGGUGAAAUUCUUGGAUCGGCGGAAGACGCGCAACUGCGAAAGCAUUUGCCAAGAAUGUUUUCUUUAAUCAAGAACGAUAGUCGGAGGUUCGAAGACGAUCAGAUACCGUCCUAGUUUCGACUGUAAACUAUGCCAGCUAACGAUCAGGCAGCGUUCUCUACGACUUGUCUGGCAGUUUCCGGGAAACCAAAGCUUUUGGGUUCCGGGGGAAGUAUGGUUGCAAAGCUGAAACUUAAAGGAAUUGACGGAAGGGCACCACCAGGAGUGGAGCCUGCGGCUUAAUUUGACUCAACACGGGGAAACUCACCCGGCCCGGACACAGUGAGGAUUGACAGAUUGAGAGUUCUUUCUUGAUUCUGUGGGUGGUGGUGCAUGGCCGUUCUUAGUUGGUGGAGCGAUUUGUCUGGUUAAUUCCGAUAACGAACGAGACUCUGGCAUGUUAAAUAGUCGCGGGAGUCAUUAUGACUCGCUUUGAUGACUUCUUAGAGGGACAAGUGAUUCUAAUCACACGAGAUUGAGCAAUAACAGGUCUGUGAUGCCCUUAGAUGUUCGGGGCCGCACGCGCGCUACAAUGAGUCGAUCAACGAGCGUAUAUUUAUAUCCAAGUGCGAAAGCUCGAGGUAAUCCGUUGAACCCGACUCGUGCUAGGGAUAGGGAAUUGUAAUUGUUUCCCUUGAACGAGGAAUUCCCAGUAAGCGCAAGUCAUCAGCUUGCGUUGAUUACGUCCCUGCCCUUUGUACACACCGCCCGUCGCUACUACCGAUUGAAUGGUUCAGUGAGCAAAUCAGACUGAAAACUUGGCAACUGGCAACAGUUGACGUGAAUUUUAGAAAGACGUGCAAAACUUGUCCCUUA